UAGCUAAGCAUCUCACUUACACCGAGAAGACAUCCAUGCAAGUUGGAUCACCCUGAACCAAACAGCUAG
rnacentral:tRNA from 1 species